rnacentral:rRNA from 1 species
UGGGGAAUUUUGGACAAUGGGCGAAAGCCUGAUCCAGCAAUGCCGCGUGUGUGAAGAAGGCCUUCGGGUUGUAAAGCACUUUUGUCCGGAAAGAAAUCCUUGGCUCUAAUACAGUCGGGGGAUGACGGUACCGGAAGAAUAAGCACCGGCUAACUACGUGCCAGCAGCCGCGGUAAUACGUAGGGUGCAAGCGUUAAUCGGAAUUACUGGGCGUAAAGCGUGCGCAGGCGGUUUGCUAAGACCGAUGUGAAAUCCCCGGGCUCAACCUGGGAACUGCAUUGGUGACUGGCAGGCUAGAGGUAUGGCAGAGGGGGGUAGAAUUCCACGUGUAGCAGUGAAAUGCGUAGAGAUGUGGAGGAAUACCGAUGGCGAAGGCAGCCCCUGGGCAAUACUGACGCUCAUGCACGAAAGCGUGGGGAGCAAACAGGAUUAGAUACCCUAGGUAGUCCACGCCCUAAAGCGAUGUCAACUAGUU